rnacentral:rRNA from 1 species
GACGAACGCUGGCGGCGUGCCUAAUACAUGCAAGUAGGACGCACAGUCUAUACCGUAGCUUGCUACACCACAGACUGUGAGUUGCGAACGGGUGAGUAACGCGUAGGUAACCUGCCUAUUAGAGGGGGAUAACUAUUGGAAACGAUAGCUAAUACCGCAUAACAGUAUGUAACACAUGUUAGAUGCUUGAAAGAUGCAAUUGCAUCGCUAGUAGAUGGACCUGCGUUGUAUUAGCUAGUAGGUAGGGUAAUGGCCUACCUAGGCGACGAUACAUAGCCGACCUGAGAGGGUGAUCGGCCACACUGGGACUGAGACACGGCCCAGACUCCUACGGGAGGCAGCAGUAGGGAAUCUUCGGCAAUGGGGGGAACCCUGACCGAGCAACGCCGCGUGAGUGAAGAAGGUUUUCGGAUCGUAAAGCUCUGUUGUUAAGGAAGAACGAGUGUGAGAAUGGAAAGUUCAUACUGUGACGGUACUUAACCAGAAAGGGACGGCUAACUACGUGCCAGCAGCCGCGGUAAUACGUAGGUCCCGAGCGUUGUCCGGAUUUAUUGGGCGUAAAGCGAGCGCAGGCGGUUAGAAAAGUCUGAAGUGAAAGGCAGUGGCUCAACCAUUGUAGGCUUUGGAAACUGUUUAACUUGAGUGCAGAAGGGGAGAGUGGAAUUCCAUGUGUAGCGGUGAAAUGCGUAGAUAUAUGGAGGAACACCGGUGGCGAAAGCGGCUCUCUGGUCUGUAACUGACGCUGAGGCUCGAAAGCGUGGGGAGCGAACAGG